CUACCAUGGCAAUCACGGGUAACGGGGAAUUAGGGUUCGAUUCCGGAGAGGGAGCCUGAGAAACGGCUACCACUUCUAAGGAAGGCAGCAGGCGCGUAAAUUACCCAAUCCCAAUUCGGGGAGGUAGUGACAAGAAAUAACAACUCGGAUCCUUCGGGAUUACGAGAUUGCAAUGAGAACAAUUUAGACCACUUAACGAGGAUCCAUUGGAGGGCAAGUCUGGUGCCAGCAGCCGCGGUAAUUCCAGCUCCAAUAGCGUAUAUUAAAGUUGUUGCAGUUAAAAAGCUCGUAGUUGAACUUCUGAUUAUCGUUUCAGCUGGCUUCGGUCGCUGAACCGGUGAUCAUCCGCUUGGGAAUUACGUUCGAACUUCACUGUUCGGCGUAGGGAACAGGCAUUUUACUUUGAAAAAAUUAGAGUGUUCAAGGCAGGCUAUCGCCCUGAAUACACAAGCAUGGAAUAAUGAAAUAGGACUACUUCCAUUUUAUUGGUUAUUGGAAAUAGUAAUGAUUAACAGGGACAGUUGGGGGCAUUAGUAUUUAAUUGUCAGAGGUGAAAUUCUUGGAUUUAUUAAAGACUAACUUAUGCGAAAGCAUUUGCCAAGGAUGUUUUCAUUAAUCAA
rnacentral:rRNA from 1 species